GUCUUUUUGAAAAUAAUUUAAAGUCUAAUCUGCCCACUGAUUUUAAAUUAAAGGGCUGCAGUAUUUUGACUGUACAAAGGUAGCAUAAUCAAUAGUCUCUUAAUUGGUGACUUGUAUGAAAGAUUUGAUGAAAUAUAAACUGUCUCUAUUAAAUUUAUAAAAUUUAAUUUUUUAGUUAAAAAGCUAAAAUAUAUUUAAAAGACGAGAAGACCCUAUAGAGUUUUAUAAUUCAUUUAUUUUUAUUUUUGUUUAAAUAUUAAAAUUAAAAAUAAAUGAAUUAUUUUAUUGGGGUGAUAGAAAAAUUAAAUAAACUUUUUUUAAAAUUUUUACAUUAAUAUAUGAUUAUAUGAUCCGUAAAUUACGAUUAAAAGAUUAAAUUACCUUAGGGAUAACAGCGUAAUUUUUUUUUUUAGUUCAAAUAAGAAAAAGAGUUUGCGACCUCGAUGUUGGAUUAAGAUAAAAUUUAAAAUGCAAAAGUUUAAAAUUUUUGAUCUGUUCGAUCAUUAAAAUCUUACA
rnacentral:rRNA from 1 species